CUUACUCAGGUCUGUGGUUGCGGGAGAGAGGCGCGCACGACCGCGUCCUCGCUCCCUAGUCCAUGGCAGACGAGGCCAAAAGGAUCCACGUAAGCCGGGCGUGAGCGUUCCGGCGAGCAUGGCUCGUCCUAGGGGUAAGCCGCACCGCCCGACACCUUCGGGGCAUGGGGCCCCGCGGGCGAGAGGACCUACGGUGGGGGGCCGCAGCCCCGAAGCCAGAGUCCCGGUGCGCGAGUGUGGGGCCAAAUACCAGGUCAGCUGAGUAAG
rnacentral:ncRNA from 1 species